rnacentral:misc_RNA from 1 species
ACAGGCAACAUUAACGAGAACAGUGAGAGACACAACUUGUGUUUCAGUUGGCAGGUGAGACUGUAGAGGGUUGACUGACCCCGAUUCCGCAGUAUUCACAUACACAUCUGCUCUAUGUCAACUGCCCACUGGCAAUGGAUGUCUGUCCCCUCGUUUUUUUCGGUCAGGCACAAUGGCGAGAUUAAAGCGCAGACAAUAUCUCGACAGCAGCUAUCACUCGCAUUAACCACGAACCAUCUGCUACUUGUAGCGCACCCCGCAGUUUCAACUGUGUCUCACAAGCGGCUGAGACAUGGAUACGUUGGUGGGAUGGUGGGGUGGUUCGUCGAGUAAAGGGUGACGAUUGGGACACUCCUAAAGGGCUGCUUGGUUGAAAAUGUUGCUGUACAACAGCACGAUUGAUUGCCACCAUCUGCAUUGUCCCUCCCUCUCGUUUCUAACUGUACAGUACAGACCACAACUAACACCCUUCCCACACUUUGACGGCUCUCAGCUAAGUUAUCUAGUCAAAGGGGGCCAAAAGUGACACCAAAAGCGGGGUUGAAAGACACAAUGGCAGAAAGAAGCAACGGACAAGAGAUUGGGACCUUGUUGGACGCAUGAUAUACGCCAUCUUGCUUGCUUGCAUUUCGCAGGGUGGUGUGGCUGUGCUUUGAACCGUGUAGAGAUAGGUAUGUACUGUACUGUACGAUUUCUGAAGUAAUACAACGGG